UACGUAGGGUGCGAGCGUUGUCCGGAAUUACUGGGCGUAAAGAGCUCGUAGGCGGUCUGUCGCGUCUGCUGUGAAAACUCGGGGCUUAACCCCGGGCCUGCAGUGGGUACGGGCAGACUAGAGUGCGGUAGGGGAGACUGGAAUUCCUGGUGUAGCGGUGAAAUGCGCAGAUAUCUGGAGGAAUACCGGUGGCGAAGGCGGCAUCCUGGACCGACAUUGACGCUGAGGAGCGAAAGCUAGGGGAGCAAACGGG
rnacentral:rRNA from 1 species